ACAAACAAACAAAUAAAUAGGGUUGGAGAUGUGGCACAGUGCAAAGGCUAUUUGGUAGGUUGGGAGGUGGGUUCCUGCCAACCUCUCUACCCUUUCUCUCUACCAUCCAGGUCCUCAUUCCUGAAACCUCUUUCCCUGCGACCUUUGCCAGUUGCCAGAGGUCUGAGGCCUGCCUGGCUGCCUAGACUUGGAGGAGGACACAAGGUUGGAGCAGGCCUGGAACCCUGAAGGGAAUUCAGAGGAGAAAAGUCCCUGGCGGGAGGCGGCCCUCUGCCCGGAGGCUGUUCCCUCAAGUGGCCAAGGUAAGAAGUGGGGGAUUUCCAAGCUGGGACAGGGCUGACUUCACAAUUAGGGGCUCCUCUCCUCUCUCCGGCAUCCUCACCCUAGGACAGAAACUGCAGUUGGGCCCAUGUGUUCGAGGAUUUGGGGCAAUACAGUCAGCUAGGGCCCACCAGUUACUAUUUCCCACUCCAGAGGGAACCCCAGGCCUGCACCUGAGACUCACAGGGACCCAGCCCUGGAAGACCCCGAUGGGCAUCUCCAGGAAGGGUUGGGGUCUGGAAAUCCAGAGCCAUACUUACUCAUGGGCCUGUGGGGAAUGAGUCAAAUCGAUGAAUGCCCCUGCCUAACCCCAGGUUCUGCCCCACAGCUGCCGGGUAGGCCCGGUGGUUAGAGGAGUGGUCACUCUCAAUCCUAGCCCACAGGCUCCCUAAGUUGGCCAGCACUUCCACCGGCAGCUGGAGAGUCAAAGGCGAUAGUGUGGGCCAGUGGCGAGCUGGGAGCUCCCUGAAACCCUGACCACAGGAAAGAGGAGCUAUACUCGCAUCCCCCAUAUUCCUGCCCUGAGCUCAACUGGUAUCUGUAACCCCAGACACCAAGUGGAGGACAGGGAGGAAGUCAAGGUGUUGCAUCCAUGUCCCAGGCUCCAAGUCAGCCAACUCAGGCCCAGCUGCUGGGUUUAGGAAACAGCUAGAUUCUCCCUCCACCGUCACGGUGUCUCCUGGGCCUCCAGUGCUUGUGAAUGAUGUGUGUGUGCUGUGGACAUGUGCAUAGGAGCUCUGUGCAUGUGUAUAGGCUUGUGUAAGUGAAGUGUGCCCUGUCAAGGAAUAGCCGGGCACUCAUGAACGUGAAACAAUAAAUCCAGCCACCAUCAUGCUAGGCUAGCACCUGUGCCAAGAGGCUUUAAUGCAUUAUCACCAAUCUGCAUGCCAACUAACUCUCUGAAGGGAGGUGUAAUGACCUGCAUUUUACAAAUCAGUAAACAUUUAACACACAGAAGUUAAA